rnacentral:rRNA from 1 species
AACUGGAGGAGGGUGGGGAUGACGUCAAGUCAUCAUGGCCCUUACGGCCUGGGCUACACACGUGCUACAAUGGUCGGUACAGAGGGUUGCCAAGCCGCGAGGUGGAGCUAAUCCCAGAAAACCGAUCGUAGUCCGGAUCGCAGUCUGCAACUCGACUGCGUGAAGUCGGAAUCGCUAGUAAUCGCGAAUCAGAAUGUCGCGGUGAAUACGUUCCCGGGCCUUGUACACACCGCCCGUCACACCAUGGGAGUGGGUUGCACCAGAAGUAGCUAGUCUAACCUUCGGGAGGACGGUUACCACGGUGUGAUUCAUGACUGGGGUGAAGUCAUAACAAGGUAGCCGUAGGGGAACCUGCGGUUGGAUCAUCCCCUCCU